UCUCAGUUCGGACUGUGGUCUGCAACCCGACCACACGAAGCUGGAAUCGCUAGUAAUCGUGAAUCAGAAUGUCACGGUGAAUACGUUCCCGGGUCUUGUACACACCGCCCGUCACACCAUGGGAGUCAGCAACGCCCGAAGUCAGUGACCUAACCGAGAGGGAGGAGCUGCCGAAGGCGGGGCCGGUAACUGGGGUGAAGUCGUAACAAGGUACC
rnacentral:rRNA from 1 species